rnacentral:rRNA from 1 species
UCAGGAUGAACGCUAGCUACAGGCUUACACAUGCAAGUCGAGGGGCGAGCAUGAAGUUGCUUGCAAACUUGAUGGCGACCGGCGCACGGUGAGUAACGCGUAUCCAACCUUCCCCUUAGUAGGGCAUAGCCCGGCGAAAGUCGGAUUAAUACCCUAUGUUCUUCGUAGAGGACAUCUGAAAUGAAGCAAAGGUUUACCGCUAAGGGAUGGGGAUGCGUCUGAUUAGGUAGUAGGCGGGGUAACGGCCCACCUAGCCUGCGAUCAGUAGGGGUUCUGAGAGGAAGGUCCCCCACAUUGGAACUGAGACACGGUCCAAACUCCUACGGGAGGCAGCAGUGAGGAAUAUUGGUCAAUGGGCGCGAGCCUGAACCAGCCAAGUAAGCGUGCAGGAUGACGGCCCUAUGGGUUGUAAACUGCUUUUAUCAGGGGAUAAAGUGAGGGACGUGUCCCUUUUUGUAGGUACCUGAUGAAUAAGGACCGGCUAAUUCCGUGCCAGCCGCGGC